rnacentral:rRNA from 1 species
ACGGAAGGCAGCAGUGGGGAAUAUUGCACAAUGGGGGAAACCCUGAUGCAGCGACGCCGCGUGAAGGAAGAAGUAUCUCGGUAUGUAAACUUCUAUCAGCAGGGAAGAAAAUGACGGUACCUGACUAAGAAGCCCCGGCUAACUACGUGCCAGCAGCCGCGGUAAUACGUAGGGGGCAAGCGUUAUCCGGAUUUACUGGGUGUAAAGGGAGCGUAGACGGAAUUGCAAGUCUGAUGUGAAAGGCAUGGGCUCAACCCGUGGACUGCAUUGGAAACUGUGAUUCUUGAGUGCCGGAGGGAUAAGCGGAAUUCCUGGUGUAGCGGUGAAAUGCGUAGAUAUCAGGAGGAACACCGGUGGCGAAGGCGGCUUACUGGACGGCAACUGACGUUGAGGCUCGAAGGCGUGGGGAGCGAACAGGAUUAGAUACCCUGGUA